rnacentral:misc_RNA from 1 species
UACAGAGGGUGCAAGCGUUAAUCGGAUUUACUGGGCGUAAAGCGCGAGUAGGUGGCGGCGUAAGUCGGUUGUGAAAUCCCUGGGCUCAACCUGGGAAUUGCAUCCGAUACUGCGUUGCUAGAGUUCGGUAGAGGACGGCGGAAUUCUCGGUGUAGCGGUGAAAUGCGUAGAUAUCGGGAGGAACAUCGGUGGCGAAGGCAACCGUCUGGGCCUGAACUGACCCUGAGACACGAAAGCGUGGGUAGCAAACAGG